GACGAACCGUGCGAACGUUGUUCGGAUUUAUUGGGCGUAAAGAGCGUGUAGGCGGCCAGGUGGGUCUGCUGUGAAAACUCGAGGCUCAACCUCGAGACGUCGGCGGAAACCAUCUGGCUAGAGUCCGGAAGAGGAGAGUGGAAUUCCUGGUGUAGCGGUGAAAUGCGCAGAUAUCAGGAAGAACACCCGUGGCGAAGGCGGCUCUCUGGGACGGUACUGACGCUGAGACGCGAAAGCGUGGGGAGCGAACAGG
rnacentral:rRNA from 1 species